UACGUAGGUGGCAAGCGUUAUCCGGAUUUACUGGGUGUAAAGGGCGUGUAGGCGGGAAAGCAAGUCAGGCGUGAAAACUGGAGGCUCAACCUCCAGCCUGCGUUUGAAACUGUUUUUCUUGAGUGUCGGAGAGGCAAUCGGAAUUCCGUGUGUAGCGGUGAAAUGCGUAGAUAUACGGAGGAACACCAGUGGCGAAGGCGGAUUGCUGGACGAUAACUGACGCUGAGGCGCGAAAGCGUGGGGAGCAAACAGG
rnacentral:rRNA from 1 species